CAUACGUUUUAUGCCUCUGUGUGAUUGUGUCUUGAUACAUGCAUGGUUAGUUCUCGAGGGGGUGACUCCUAUGAAUACUUUGACCUCGUCUAGCAUACCCAGUGGCAUUAGACAAAGUCUCCACCACAAUACUGUCGCCAUGAUUGCGGAGAGGGUCUGAUAAAAUGGCUCACUCGCACACUAGCUUUUGAUCGCACUGAUUUAAUGUGCCCUAACUCAAACAUUUUGUAUAGAAGCAUGAGGUUUUUUUACAGUCAGGGAUGAAGUAUGACAUGUCUGCCAUCCAGUGGAGGGAAGGUCAAAUGAAAUUUGACACCCAAUUUGACAAAAUUGUCCAUUUUGUUCAGUGCCGCAUCAUGUCGAGUAAACUCGACCGUGGUGCCUAGAGGGUUAAUGCAGGCCAAAGUACACAGCAACGAAAGGGCUAAACUCUAAUAAUCGUCUCUGGUUAUGUAUUUGUCUCUGGUUACUUAAUAAUCGUCUCUGGUCUCUGGUUAAUAAUCGUCUCUGUUUACGUAUGUGUUACGUAUGUGUCCAGAGACGUCUCGUUCCCUGAAGGGAACCACGAGUCUUUAGGUUCCGGGGGGAGUAUGGUUGCAAAGCUGAAACUUAAAGGAAUUGACGGAAGGGCACCACCAGGAGUGGAGCCUGCGGCUUAAUUUGACUCAACACGGGAAAGCUCACCCGGCCCGGACACGGAAAGGAUUGACAGAUUGAUAGCUCUUUCUCGAUUCUGUGGGUGGUGGUGCAUGGCCGUUCUUAGUUGGUGGAGCGAUUUGUCUGGUUCAUUCCGAUAACGAACGAGACUCCGGCAUGCUAACUAGUUACGCGGCCCCGAGCGGUCGGCGUCCAACUUCUUAGAGGGACAAGUGGCGUUCAGCCACGCGAGAUGGAGCAAUAACAGGUCUGUGAUGCCCUUAGAUGUCCGGGGCUGCACGCGCGCCACAAUGGGCGGAUCAGCGUGUGCCUACCCUGCGCCGAGAGGCGCGGGUAACCCGCUGAACCCCGCUCGUGAUCGGGACUGGGGAUUGAAACUGUUUCCCAUCAACGAGGAAUUCCCAGUAAGCGCGGGUCAUAAGCUCGCGUUGAUUAAGUCCCUGCCCUUUGUACACACCGCCCGUCGCUACUACCGAUUGGGUGGUUUAGUGAGGUCCUUGGAUCGGCCCCGCCGGAGCUCCUCGCUGGGUUCUGGCGGAGCGUCGAGAAGACGAUCAAACUUGACCAUCUAGAGAUAGUAAAAGUCGUAACAAGGUUUCCGUAGGUGAACCUGCGGAAG
rnacentral:rRNA from 1 species